GAUGAACGCUAGCGGCAGGCCUAACACAUGCAAGUCGAGGGGCAGCACGGUGUAGCAAUACAAUUGCCGGCGACCGGCGCACGGGUGAGUAACACGUAUCCAACCUUCCGGUUACUCGGGGAUAGCCUUUCGAAAGAAAGAUUAAUACCCGAUAGUAUAAAUUUUCCGCAUGGUUUGUUUAUUAAAGAUUCAUCGGUAACCGAUGGGGAUGCGUUCCAUUAGAUAGUAGGCGGGGUAACGGCCCACCUAGCCGACGAUGGAUAGGGGGUUCUGGGGAGGAAGGUCCCCCCACAUUGGAACUGAGACACGGUCCAAACUCCUACGGGGAGGCAGCAGUGAGGAAUAUUGGUCAAUGGGCAGGAGCCUGAACCAGCCAAGUAGCGUGAAGGAUGACUGCCCU
rnacentral:rRNA from 1 species